GCGGGCGUAGCUCAGUGGUAGAGCAUCUGCUUCCCAAGCAGAGGGUCGUGGGUUCGAGCCCCAUCGCCCGCUCCA
rnacentral:tRNA from 1 species